rnacentral:rRNA from 1 species
UACGUAGGGUGCGAGCGUUGUCCGGAAUUACUGGGCGUAAAGAGCUUGUAGGCGGUCUGUCGCGUCUGCUGUGAAAAUCCGGGGCUCAACCCCGGACUUGCAGUGGGUACGGGCAGACUAGAGUGUGGUAGGGGAGACUGGAAUUCCUGGUGUAGCGGUGAAAUGCGUAGAGAUCGGAAGGAACACCCAAGGCGAAAGCACUCUGCUGGGCCGACACUGACACUGAGAGACGAAAGCUAGGGGAGCAAAUGGG